ensembl:lncRNA
UCUGUCUGUGCUGUCUUAUGAUUAUAUCAGCACAGAGUAGUUAUAGGAACUAGUGACUAAGAGUCUUGCGUUCUGGCCCACUUUUGAUGGGUGACUGGCACCCCAAACGAAGAGGAGCUCCGUGAGGAAGAUGCCCAGUGCUAUGUUUUUGGAAGACAGAAAUACCUACUUAUUGGGGCUUCCCUAAUGGCUCAGUGAUAAAGAAUCUACCUGCCAAUGCAGGCAGGAGACUCGAGUUUGAUCCUUGGGUUGGGAAGAUCCCCUGGAGAAGGAAACAGCAACCUGCUCCAGUAUUCUUGCCUGGGAAACCCUGCGGAGGAGCCUAGAGGGCUACAGUCCAUGGGGUCACGAAAGAGUUGGACAUGAUUUAAUGACUGAAACAACAAAACAACAACAACAGCAACUGUGUUGUGGAAGCCAGAGAUAUGAUCUCCAGGUUCUUAACUGUCGCUGUACAGCUGCUGUCAUGCCAUGCAAUUCAACAAGUGCUCAUCCAGCAAUGAGAAAAAGGCCCGAUGACUAAAGAGAUGAAAACAACUACCACUGAAAACUCAGUAUACGACAAUAACCUCGCAAGGAACAGUGCAGACCUGGAUUAAUCAUAUCCCCAUAAGAUAACAGUCCAUCUUUCAGAGACAGAGUCUGAUGAAACUGAGUUAAAAAAAAAACAGAUGGUAGCUGUGAGGAAGUUUCUGAAAAUCAAAGCAGAGACCCUGACUUGAAAAAAUGCACCAGGACUCACAAAACAGAUAAACUACUCUAAACCAUAACAUCUGAAACAAGCAAUCUAAACUCACACUGUUUUAAUGCAGCUCAUUUAGAUUCCUAUGAUCCAAGACCACUGAUGAACUGAUACCAUGGUAACCGUAUGGACUCUUAUGUUAAAGACAUGACCACUGACGUCCCUGCAACUUCGCUGUUUUAUAAAUUCUAACCAAUCCCUGACAAGACCACUCUAUGGCUAACUACAGUUCCAUAGACCCUAUAAAAUUUCCUUGAUUGACUAAUCCUGACCCAUCCCAUGGUUCCCAAUGUGUGCAUUCACCCUUGUAGCAAUAAGCUAAUAAAUAUAACUUUGUGUUUCUGGUGAUCUAGUGGGGUAUAAACACAUCACCCAGAAAUGGCUGGUCUGAAAGAACAGUAGAAUGACCUGCUGAAGAUUUAGUUACAACAUCAGUUCCUGAAAUGUUUCAUUUCUCCUUUACAGGCUACAGUAUAAGCUUUGCUUCCGUGUCCACUGUGAUGCUGUCUCUCCUAGAGCCAGAUGCGUCCAAGAAUCGUCAAGGGAUAGAAGUGACUUCUUUCAAUAUUAUAACUACUCAGAGGUUAUUUGAUUCCUAUUCUCACAAUUUUGAAUUCUGUAGGUGUGAAGGACAGAAAGGAAUGCUUCCACCUAGGGACACAACAAUGAUUCCACUGAGUUGGAAGUUUGAGAAUACCGC